UAUAUAUUCCUGCUUGGUGCAAAUACCAAGCAGUCGUUGACUGGUCAAUCUUUAGUUCACAUGUAACCACUCAUUCUGUGUGGUUUCUUCCCAGUAAUGUCCUUAAAAAUUGGUUAUUAUUUAUUGCAGACGGUCAUCUGUGACCUUCACCAUCUUUAAGACCCUCAUAUCCUUUAGAAUAUUCAUGGAACUAUAGGUGAAAAACAUAUUCCUUGGCUGCAUUGCUACCAAAUUUUGUGUAGCUAUUGCAAGCAGCAAUUUCUCUUGCUUUGCGUUACAUUUUGACAUCGUCCAAUUAAAUCAAUUUCAAUUUGUUUUUAAGUCUUCUUUUUCUUUCUAUUCAUGUUUAAUUUAGAAUUAUAUAAAUAUAGAUAAAUAGUGAAAACAAAACCAUUCAGAUUAAUUAGUAGAAUGAUAUCAUUGCUGCCCAAUGGUGUAUUCCAAACUAUCAGAUCUUAACCAAUAAGAAUUACUAUUAUUUUUGCACUAAUCUUUUUAUGCAUGUAUGUGUUUGUAUUCCAUUGUCUACAUGUUUAUAUAUAUAUAUAUAUAUAUAUAUAUAUCCAUGCUUAUGUACACAUAUACAUAUCUGUUUUAUAUAUAUAUGUGUGCGAGUGUGUACACUCUUGCAUAUGUACACACAUAUAUACAUGUCUAUGUUAUAUAUAUUCAUAGAUCUGUGCAUCUGUAUAUAAAGGCCUUAUUCUAUAUAUAAUUAUUGUAUUAAUCCAUUUGCAUUUAACUGAAUAAAAUGUUACAGUUAGUUAAUUCAACUUUUGUCUAAGUUAUCCUACAAUGAAAAGUUGUUAAAGCUUGUGUUAAGCCAGGGGGAUCAUAGAUCAAAUCUCAUCAAGAACUGCAUCACUUUUUUUUUUUUUUUUAUAAAAUGCAUUGUUUUCGCAAAUGUGUUCUGGAUAAUAAAUAUAUAUUUAUACACAGACACAUAUAUACAAUUAUAUAUAUAUUACGGAGAUGUACUUGCAUAGCAAGUGACCUGAUCUGAGAUUGUAUGCUGAAACAAAAGCAAUUGCAGCAUGGAAGGUGUUUAUAAGCCAUUUAAAAUCACCUUCCAUGCUGCACUUGUUUGUUUAUAUAUAUAUAUAUAUAUAUAUAUAUAUAUAUAUAUAUUUAUUUAUACACAGACAUAUAUACAAUUAUAUAUAUAUAUAUAUAAAAGCAUGCAUGCAAUUAUAUAUAUAUAUAUAUAUACAUAUAUAUAUAUAUAAAAGCAUGCAUGCAAUUAUAUAUAUAUAUAAGCAUGCAUACAAUUAUAUAUAUAUAUAUAUAAGCAUGCAUACAAUUAUAUAUAUAUAUAUAUGUAUGUAUGAAUGUAUGUAUGUAUGUAGAAAUAUACAUAUAUACUUACACAUAUAUGUAGUUAUAUGUAUACAUGCACCUAUGUACACAUUUUCAUAUACUUGUCCGUUUAUCUGGCAUGCUGUCUUUUUCUUCUUCAAUUAAAGGAAAAAAAACUUUAAAAUUAUUUACAUCUAUUUUCGCUUUCUUAAAUAAAGAUUAAAAAAUACUUUAAAAAAAUAUCAAAAAAAUGUUUCCAUGAAUACACACACACACAUUUGAUUAUUGCUGGCUGUUAAUGAAAUGCCUUGAUGUCUGUAUAUAAUCAUGCAUACAUAUGCACAUAAAAAGGAUUGUGUGUGUGUGUAUAUAUAUAUACACACACACACACAUACACACAAAAACCUACACUCAAGUAUAUAUAAGACAAAAUUUGCAUUAAAUGGGACUUUGUUUUGCUAGGCAGCUUACUUAAUCUGCCAUCAGGUACAAAUUAGUCUCAAUUAGCAGGAGCUUUUUAAUUUGAUUAUAUUGUGACUUAAACUUGCUUUAAAACAACAAUCAUAUAUAUAUAUCCAUAUGUGUGUACAUUUGUAUAAACGUAUUUUUUUCUAUGUGUUCAUGAACUUAUAUGUAUACAUAUGUCUGCAUAUAGGUAUAUAUACGUAUGUGUAUACAUAGGUAUACUUAUGUAUAUGAACCUAUAAAUUGUUUGUGUGUGUGAGUAUGUGUGUAAGAAGUCAUGGGCCAAUAGGUUUUUGGGAUAUGACUAUGCCAUAAAGCUAAAUCCUUUAUGGACAGGAAACUUAAAGAAAUCUCAUAAACGGGCCUUCCACAUUAUAUAUAUUUAGCCGAAAUGAGAGAGUGACUCAAGGGCUGAGAGUUAACAAACUAGCUUGGUAAAUGCUACAAGUUACUCUGCUUCUGCUAAAUAUUAACUAUAUAUGUAUACUCAUAUUUUGAGUUCUGUUUUACCUGUUAGCAUCACCAUACAUACAUACAUACAUAUAUAUAUUUAUACACAGACACAUAUAUGCAAUUAUAUAUAUAUAUAUAUAUAUAUAUAUAUAUAUAUUAUAUAUAUAUAUACGUUUAUAUAUUUGUUGUGCAAGAUUUUUUAUGUGGAAUCAUGUGUUGAAACAGAUAUUGUUGUAUUUCGGAAUGGUCAUUUUGCCAGUUUAGCCAAUGUGGCAAAAUGACCAUUCCAAAAUGCAACUAUAUAUAUAUAUAUAUAUAUAUAUAUACACAUACACACAUGCAUACAGAUACAAAGAGCAGUUGAAAAAUAUUUCUUCCAUAACUGAAAAUUUUUUCAGCUGUUUGUAAACUUUAUAGACUGUGUUGAUGGUUACCCAUACACACUCACUCAGGCACACAUAUUUAUACACAAAUAUACAUGUGUGGCAUGGUCGGAUUUCUCUCUGCAUGUAUUUAUCUAUGUAUACAUAUAUUUUCUCUGUGUGUGUGUAUAUAUAUGAACAUUUGUGUGUGUGUGCUUAUAUACGUAGAUAUUUAAACAAGCAUACACAUAUAUCUGUAUGUGUGUGUAUAUAUAAUAUAUAUAUAUUCAUAUUUUUAUUUGAAUAUUUGUGUAUGCCCAUUUACAUUGCUAUAUAUUUAAAAAAAGCAUAUUUACAUAUACUUGUGUGUGUGUGUGUGUGUGUGUGUGUGUGUGUGUGCAUGUGUAUACAUGAACACAAAUGAACAUGGUAUUUUGUAUUUAACACCAGCAUGUUUCAAAGUAAUUUUACCUGUAGUUAUAGAUAUUUGGAAAAAGAAAAAAGAAAGAAAAUAAACAACAAGAAUAAUAUAUAUAAAAAAACAAAUUUAUGCCCUCCUCUUAAAGAAUUUCUUUUCAAUGUGAUGCUUGCUUGUUCAUGUGUUUUCCUUCAUAAUUCCACAUGUAGUGUGUGUGUAUGUAUGUAUGUAUAUAUAUAUGUAUGUAUAUAUAUAUAUAUAUAUAUAUAAAAUCAAUGAAAAUAAAUACUCAUUGUUUUAAUCUA
rnacentral:lncRNA from 1 species